rnacentral:SRP_RNA from 1 species
GCCGAGUUGGGUAGCUCCAACUUGUAACUCAAGUGAGGGCAUCAAGGUGGUGGGACAUGGUUCAGGUUUCACUUGGUUGGACUGAUUCUGCAAUUGUUGGCCCGCCCACUCCAAGCUGAGAGUUGAUCAAUGGGGCCUGGUCGAAGGUCCGAGUCUCCUUGGUCCUAGACGGAAGUGUACUGCGUGAGGCUGGUUUAACAGAGCAGCGAAUAUCUUCGGCUCUUGACAGUGGAGGGAUAACGGGCCGCUGCAUUUCCAGCCCAAUAUGCCUAGUGAGCCUUGCUAACUGAACCACCACUUUU